AUUAGAAAGAAAACGCAAACUAAAGAGAACCCUAAGCGCCGUCUCUCUCUCUCUCGUCUCAACACAGUCGCCACCGCACCAGUCACCACCGUCAGCGGCAAUCACUCAGUCACCACCGUAUCUCUUCAACUCAGUCGCCAGCGUCUCAUCUCAACACGAUUCACCACCGCCUCGUUUCUAUCGAUGUCAGGUAUUGGUAAACCAAGAGGACUACAUAAACGAUUUGUAGAUAAAGGGAAUGGAAAGAAAGUUCCAACCAUUUCUACUAGUUUGGAGCAAAGGAACACUGCUAUGCACACAACUUCAGUGUCACACUAGGAAGGGGACACAACUUUGUUGAUAAGAGAUCAAGUGAUGCAUAUGAUAACAUUGUAAAUCUAUGUUCACAAGUUGAGACUAGUGGCACUCAACCCAAGCCAAUUGGUAUGGAUGGAAGCAUGCUCACCCAUGGCUCAACAUCUCAAUCAAAUAAAUAUUCAAAUUAUGUUGAUAUUGUUCAUGGCAUGAGUAGAGAGGUUGAUGCGGGACUACGACAACAACUGAUAUUUGGAUUUAAUGGAUUUGGAUGAAGAUGAUCCUUCGGUUGGUAUUGUUAGUCGUGGAAGCAAUGCCAUUGAUGGUUCAAAUGCUAAUGAGUAGUAAUAUUGAUGACUUUGGAUUAGAACUUAAAAAUUAUUGAAAGUUUGAUAUUUUGUAGGCACAUUCAAGUUAUUUGAACUUUAACCUUUUGAAUGUAAUGAUAAAAGUUUGAUAUUUGGAGAUACUUGUGUUUAUGAUAAUUAAUGCUUACAAAUUGAAUUUGUAGUUCGA